CCUACGGGUGGCAGCAGUGAGGAAUAUUGGUCAAUGGACGAGAGUCUGAACCAGCCACGUCGCGUGAAGGAUGACUGCCCUCUGGGUUGUAACCUUCUUUUAUAUGGGAAUAAAAUGUUCCACGUGUGGGAUUUUGUAUGUACCCUAUGAAUAAGGCUCGGCUAACUCCGUGCCAGCAGCCGCGGUAAUACGGAGGAUUCGCGCGUUAUCCGGAUUUAUUGGGUUUAAAGGGAGCGUAGGUGGUUUGUUAAGUCAGUUGUGAAAGUUUGCGGCUCAACCGUAAAAUUGCAGUUGAAACUGGCAGGCUUGAGUACAGUAGAGGUGGGCGGAAUUCGUGGUGUAGCGGUGAAAUGCUUAGAUAUCACGAAGAACACCGAUGGCGAAGGCAGCUCACUGGACUGCAACUGACACUGAGGCACGAAAGUGUGGGUAUCAAACAGGAUUAGAUACCCUUGUAGUC
rnacentral:rRNA from 1 species